rnacentral:tRNA from 1 species
GCGCCGGUAGUCUAGUGGUUCCUUUGGCACUAAAGGACCUCGGCUUCCCAAGCCGAUAACGUGGGUUCGAUUCCCACUCGGCGCA